ACGGGAGUUAGAGAAAGGGUUACGCAGCAACAAAUAGAGAAAAGGGGAUUUGGUGAAAUUCAAAAAAAAAAAAAAACCUUUACAAGGAACAUAGAAGAAGAAGAAGGUUCUACUCUUGGUGCUCAUAAUCCUUCUAGCCAACAUCUUCUUUGGUUAAAAAGAGAUAGCAGUUGACGCGAGCGAGGAUUUCGUUAAUUAGAGUAUACGAGUUGAUAGUUCCUGGUGAGCCUGCACUUGUUCGCGUGGGCGAAGAGUUUUUUUGUUUGUUAUCGUCUUUUCUUAUUAACUCAUAAGGUCGCUCCAUGGUCAUUCUUUUAGUGUCAUGAGUAUCCUUUAUUAUCAUAGACUUAUAAUGAGUAUUGCACUUUCUUAUCGAAUUUGGAGAUAAAUUAGUAUUUGUGGCUGUUAGUGGGUGGAUUAUAAUGGUUGAGACUUAUUUUGGUUAAUGGAAAAAGUUAUUGUUGGUUGGAUUGAUA